ensembl:lncRNA TTTY10 testis expressed transcript, Y-linked 10
UUUUUUUUUUUUUUUUUGACAACGAAGUUUCGCUCUUGUUGCCCAUGCUGGAGUGCAGGGGCGCGAUCUGCCCGUCUAAUUUUUGUAUUUUUAGUAGAGAUGGGGUUUCACCAUGUUGGCCAGGCUCUCAAACCCCUGACCUAGUGAUCCUCCCGCCUCUGCCGCCCAAAUUCCUGGGAUUGCAGUAGUGAGCCACCGCGCCCGGCCUAUUUUUUUCAGUCUUAUCUUCUCUACCUCACCACCUCACAGUAAAGCAUCCUAUAUGUGUCUUUGCCUAUAAAACAGGUUUCUUGAAGACAGCAUACUAAUGGAUUUUGGUUUUUUAUUCAACCUGCCAUGUUGGGUUUUUAAAUUGGGGCAGAUAACUCAUUUACAUUUAAGAUAGGUUCGACAACAUCACCAAGGACCAAACAUUGUGGUAGAUGUACAUGCAAUGUACAUGCAGAGUACAGGUUGAUGCCUGAAUAAAGAGAUGCUGGGUGAGUGUCUGAACCUAGAUGACAUGGAGGAGUCCUGCAGAAAAUAUUUGCUAUUGAAUUCAAAGGUCUAUAGAGAGUUCUCAACUAAUGAAAAAUCAUUGCAUUAUCUUGAGAGCAAUAGCAAUGAUCAUGCCAACAGUAAUUCAGACUGUGUCAUAAGUUGGGUCACACAGUCCCUAUUUUCAAACUUUGUGGAUGUCUGUCAACUGGCAGUGAAUUGUAUUCAGGAGAAAAGAAGUCUAAAGGAAUGACAGGCAUUUCAUCAGCAACUCCAGGAUGGCAGGCCGUUAUCCUGAAACCUAUCAGAACAGCUCCUGCUUGGCUUCCAAAAUAUCACAAUUUUGGAAAUGUACAAAGGUUGAAGAGUGCUCUGGCUGUAGAGGGUCCCCACGAUCUGUCAUCUAGUAACUCACCAGAUACAUAAGAUAUUUUGCCUGCUAUGAAGCCAUUGGAGAAUCAGGUCCAGCUGUGUCCUACAGAUUUAUACCCUCACUUUGGAUGCACUGUGAAUCUUGAAACAAUUCAUUUUAUACUUAACCCUUUAAGUAUAAAGUAUAUACUUCAAGUAUAAAGUGUAAGGUUGCUUCAUUUCAUGGGCCCACCCAGGAUUUAAAGGUGUAUUCCCUGAAAGAAUUGGUUCCUUCCGGUGGGUUCCUGGCUGACUUCAAGAAUGAAGCUGCAGACACUUAUGGACUGGGAGGAGGCCCACGAGAAAAACAGGAAGAACAAGAGAAAGGCUGAGGCUCUAGUGGCUGCUUUGCAGACUUGCAGAGUCCAGGAUCCCCCAGGAACUUCCACUGAUUGCUACCUGUUACCAGUGUUAAAGCCAGGGCACUUUAAGAAGAAUUGCCCAAGCCACAAGAAAAAGCCACCUUGACCACUUUUGUGGUGAAGACCACUGGAGAUUGCACUACUGACCACCAAGACAGAGACACAAUAGCGAAUCUAGAAGUGGAAGUGUGAGAGAUACCUGCAGCUGUUAAGAUGUCUGGGAAUAGACACACAAACUCUCUCUCCCAGAUAAGCAACACAAAGCAGCACAGAGCAACAGAGACUGAAAGUCUGCCUACCUGAUCAGGGAAUAAGGUGAGAGUUGAUAAAGACUCUGCUCUAUACAGAAAGCAUACCUGGUUCCAACUAAAUCAUCAGGUUUUAUGAGGAUAAGACAUCCUCUCCUCACUAGUGCCCUCCUCAUUAGCCCAUUUACAAAAACCCUGAGAUUUUAGCACAGCUUGGCAACCUACUCAGGGCUCCUCUCUAUGCUGAAGAGCUGUUCUUUUUGUCUAUUAAACUCCUGCUCUAAACUCAUUCUAUGGGUGUGUGUAUCCACAGCCUUGAUCCACUUGGCUGUGAGACUAAGAUCCUUGGUAUUUACCACAGACAAUUAGGUUGUUUCAGAAAUUUCCUGUUUAAAAAAAAAAAAGACAUAGAUCUAAAA